GGAUGAACGCUGGCGGCGUGCCUGAUACAUGCAAGUCGAACGGAUCGACUUAGCCUGGGCAGCCGAGCGGAGGCCGAGGGUGAGAAAUCACGCAAAGCCCGAGCGGAGCAAGAGAGGCUGACAGUUGGUCAGUGGCGGACGGGUGAGUAACACGUGGGUUAUCUGCCUCGAGGUGGGGAAUAACUACUCGAAAGGGUAGCUAAUACCGCAUGUGGUCUGCAAAGAAGAAAGGUCUUUGGACCGCCUUGAGAUGAGCCCGCGGCCGAUUAGCUAGUUGGUGAGGUAAGAGCCCACCAAGGCGACGAUCGGUAGCUGGUCUGAGAGGAUGAUCAGCCACACUGGGAUUGAGAACGGCCCAGACUCCUACGGGAGGCAGCAGUAAGGGAUAUUGCACAAUGGGGGAAACCCUGAUGCAGCAACGCCGCGUGGGUGAAGAAGGCUUUCGAGUCGUAAAACCCUUUUCUAGGGGAAGAGGAAGGACAGUACCCUAGGAACAAGUCUCGGCUAACUACGUGCCAGCAGCCGCGGUAAGACGUAGGAGGCGAGCGUUAUCCGGAUUCAUUGGGCGUAAAGGGCAAGUAGGCGGUUGUCAAAGUUGGGCGUGACAUCUCCUGGCUCAACUAGGAGAGGUCGUUCAAAACUAGGCAACUAGAGGGCAGAAGAGGAAAGCGGAACUCCUGAUGUAGCGGUGGAAUGCUCAGAUAUCAGGAAGAACACCAGUGGCGAAAGCGGCACUCUGGGGGCAACCUGACGCUGAGGCGCGAAAGCGUGGGGAGCGAACCGGAUUAGAUACCCGGGUAGUCCACGCCGUAAACGAUGAGUACUAGUUGUCGGCGGUUUAAUCACCGUCGGUGUCCAAGCUAACGCGAUAAGUCUGCCGCCUGAGGACUACGGCCGCAAGGCUAAAACUCAAAGGAAUUGACGGGUCCCCGCACAAGCAGCGGAGCGUGUGGUUUAAUUCGAUGCUCCGCGAAGAACCUUACCUGGGUUUGACAUAACAGUGGUAGAGAAACGAAAGUGGACCGACCCUUCGGGGAGCUGUUACAGGUGUUGCAUGGCUGUCGUCAGCUCGUGUCGUGAGAUGUUCGGUUAAGUCCGCUAACGAGCGCAACCCGCGCUGUGUGUUACAAGUGUCACACAGUACCGCCGGUAUUAAGUCGGAGGAAGGUGCGGAUGACGUCAAGUCAGCAUGACCUUUAUAUCCAGGGCUACACACACGCUACAAUGGUCAGCACAAUAGGUUGCCAAGCCGCAAGGCGGAGCCAAUCCUCCAAAGCUGGCCUCAGUUCAGAUUGCAGGCUGCAACUCGCCUGCAUGAAGUCGGAGUUGCUAGUAACCGCAGGUCAGCAUACUGCGGUGAAUACGUUCCCGGGGAU
rnacentral:rRNA from 1 species